rnacentral:rRNA from 1 species
AAGUGGGAUGACGUCAAAUCAUCAUGCCCCUUAUGUUCUGGGCUACACACGUGCUACAAUGGCCGGUACAGACGGACGCAAAGCCGCGAGGUGGAGCAAAUCCCUAAAAGCCGGUCUCAGUUCGGAUUGCAGGCUGCAAUUCGCCUGCAUGAAGUCGGAAUCGCUAGUAAUCGCAGGUCAGCAUACUGCGGUGAAUACGUUCCCGGCCUU